GCGCCCGUAGCUCAAUGGAUAGAGCAUUUGACUUCGGAUCAAAGGGUUGAGGGUUCGAAUCCUUCCGGGCGUA
rnacentral:tRNA from 1 species